UACGUAGGGUGCGAGCGUUAAUCGGAAUUACUGGGCGUAAAGCGUGCGCAGGCGGUUCGUUGUGUCGGUGGUGAAAUCCCCGGGCUUAACCUGGGAAUGGCCAUGGAAACUGGCGAACUGGAGUGCGGCAGAGGGGGGUGGAAUUCCGCGUGUAGCAGUGAAAUGCGCAGAUAUCAGGAGGGACACCAAUUGCGAAGGCAGCUCGCUGGGACGUUACUGACGCUGAGACGCGAAAGCGUGGGGAGCAAACAGG
rnacentral:rRNA from 1 species